CAGGUAUUGCUGUUACGUGGAUUGAGAGGAGACAUGUUGGACAAUCCCACAGCAAUGGCAAAAGCUGUGACCUUUCUGGAGCUCAGCUUUAACCAAUAAAGGACAAGGAAUUUGCCUUUGUUAACGCUGUGUCUCUGUGCCUUGCUGCUGCUGAGGACCCAGGCGCUGGCUGAGGACCAGUGUGGUGCGCUGUGCAACACCCCCACACAGAAUGCAUUCGUCCAAGGGGCACAGAAGGACUCCAGCAAGAAGUGAGAAUUCAAGUGCUUUUAAAAAGCAGCAGCAGUAGUCAGCCCAACUAGCAUACAGCAAGAAUCAAGCACCUGAGGAGCAGUGCCCUUAGUCAAAAACUCAAGGCUGGCCACCAGAUGGUCCCUGCCAGUGAGGGAGAACAAUCAGCUACUUUGCAAUGGGAACUAUAGAAAAUCAGUGGAGAAUGACAUAUUGGCAUGAAGCAGAAAAAAAUACACAAUUAAUGUAUGUAAGAAAGAAAAAUUCCUUCCACCAUCUGAAGUGCAUUUAAGUUGUCUUUGUGAUCAGUGCCUUGCAUUGCUAUGAAGGCUCCCAACAUCACCGGUUUUCCAUGGGAAAGCAAGCUGCCUCACUUGCAAUUGUGCCCCAGAGAAGAGGUAGAGGGCUGUGUCCAGAUUGCUCCAGCCAGAAGAAACCUGCCUGCCUGCUGUGAUGCAGAUCUACUGAAUGGAUUUACGGGAAUAAAUGUCCUGUGAAGGGUUGGCAUGCAGGAGAUAUAUUCAAAUGAAUAAAAUAUCAGGUAUGUUUUAACUGUAACACUGACUUGGACCAAAAAAACUCAACUAAAGAAAUGCGCAUUUCAGAUGAUGGCUGUUUGACCAUGGCCUUCUAAAAUUUUGUUACAUGGAAAAGGAACAGGCUGUUGUAUAAUUGCCAGCUGUAUGACUUCUCUGUCCUCCUUCAAUCCAUACAGCAUAGGACAUCGUUUAAGAACUGCUUUAGAUGAAUAACUGUGCUUUCUCAACAUUACAGAAUUGAAAUACUUGGCAUGUUUUAAAUGCAGCUUGGUCUGAUCAUUAGUUUUUUUUUCUCCUAAUGUGUUUUAUUUUAUGCACUCAUUCCCUAUUUCACAUACUUAAGUAGCUCAGAGAAAUGAGCAACCUCAAGGCACACACACUCCUUGCAGAGUACAGGACCCAAUCCAGUUCACAUCGUAGGAAAAAAUUCUGAAUCCUUUGGCUCCAUCUCUAAGAGAAAGUUCAAGUUUCCGAUCUACGACAGCUGUUAGUACUCCACUGAACAUUUCAUGUUCAAACCUGUACUUUGAAAAUUUGCACCAGCUUUGCCACAAGCUUCACGAGCCAGAUGUGGGCACUGCUGCUCACCAGUUAGAGCAGACUCAAAUGUGCCCCUGGGUUUGGAGGGCAAAACUGCCGGCACCGUGUGCCACACACCAAUGAAGCACAGCAUAUCCACUCUGCUCUGGUGAUCUUUCAACCACAAAGCAUUGUUCUGCAACGACAACUGAUACUGAGGAGGAGCAGGAACCUUUCUGUGCACCUAGGAGUAGUUUUUCCAACAUGGCACCCUAAGGAAUGAAGCUGAUACGACUGAUAACACUUUCUGAACAAAUUUAAUAGGUUGAAAGACAUUUCCUGUAAGUUGCCUGGAAAUAAACAGUCAAGUAAAGGAAAACAGUUACAUGGAUGUUUCCAGUGUGGAGAAGAUUGCAGCCUGAGCUCAGAUUUUAUUGCACGUUAUAAAAUCUAUUCCACAGAGAGCUAGCGUGUGUGUCUUGAGUAUGAAAAAGCUUCAUGCACCCUAUCAUAGGUCAUGUAAUUGCAAUGUGAGACAGAAACCAUAAUCAAUUAGUAAUGCUGCUCCUUAAACUACUGAC